AAAACACCCGUACAGGUGAAGGCGUUUAUGAAUAGAAAUACAUGCACAGUAUAUAUAGCUGCUGCACCUGUACCUAUAUAGUAUAUAUGUUCGCAAACAUCGAGCAUGUAUUGCCCACAAGCUGUAACGCUUCUUCGUUUUCCUCUCCGUGUUAACGUUUAAUGCGAUUUUGCUUCGGUAUCCGUUUGACAGUCGCCAAAUACCCAGCAGCAAAUGGAAGUAUGGCAAAGCCACGGCAAACAACAUCCUUUCAGUCUUUGCUGUGCUGUGUAAACACAGGACAUAUAGUGAAAUAUUGAAUUGCCAAACUUGCCAUACCGUUAACAAACACAAUUCCAUAUUAUCUCCUGUUUUCUUUGGGCUCUUGCUGCUAUUAAACCUUACAAGCAGUUCAGUUAUGGUGUUUUAUUUGAAUGUACCUCGAUUUGUUGCGCAAUAUGCUGUGCAUGAUGUUGCAUACAAGACAUGGUUUACUCGUGUUUCGGCAGGGGUACGUUGCAGUCCAUAGGUAGGCUACAGUGCCCAGAACAAAAAUAUGCAAAUGUGACACUCAAAGGGUUAAGAGUGAGAGCGAGACUCAGCGGAACGGACAAGGCAGAUACAUGGACUGAAAGGCUUGUCAGACAUGUCUGGCACUUUGCCCGCUCGGAGCUGAGACUCAACUGUCUACUUUAAAUGCCGGCCACACUUACAGCGGAUAAUUUUUAUCAAUUUUAUAUGAACUGAGCCCUUUUCAAAUGUGUAUCACGGGGUAUACUGGUUUUUGCCAAAUCAUCAAAAAACGAAUCGAUUAAGCAAUAUUUGGAAGUAAGGUUCUCCUAAAGCAGGCGCCGAGCUCCCCAGCUCUCACCAUUAUUAAAAAUGUCCUUUAUGCAGGAUGUUACUGAGAGAAGAAGAAGGACAAGUGCAGGAGUGUAAGUGAAAAGGA